GCCAUGCGGCUUUCUUUAAUUUGGUCAUUUUUGCCUAGUUAACUGGUUCUUAACCAAUGAUUUUGCAUAAGUUUGUGGCCUGAUGAAGUUAUAUAGACAAAUAAAGCCCACCUUUUCUUUUUUCUUUUAAAUAUUAACAGUCAGCUAAACAUAUCCAAUUCCCAUCGUAAUGUGGAAUAUCCAGCUAUUUGCAACAGCAAUUGUGUUCAUGCGGGAUCCCCACUGUCGAUUCGGGAGUGUAGACAUCUGCAGUUCUCCUCCAAAACAGGUGGUGUUGCCACCCUGCUCCUAUUCACACUGCAGCCCACAGCCAAGCUCGCAUAGAACAUUGGUAAAUGGCAAAUGGUAAAUGGACUGCAUUUAUAUAGCGCUUUUAUCCAAAGCGCUUUACAAUUGAUGCCUCUCAUUCGCCAGAGCAGUUAGGGGUUAGGUGUCUUGCUCAAGGACACUUCGACACUCCCAGGGCGGGGUUUGAACUGGCAACCCUCCGACUGCCAGACAAUCGGUCUUACCUCCUGAGCUAUGUCACCCCAUAUUGGUUAUCUAUUUAAGCACCCCUUCCCUGCAGUCUCAUCUGUAGCUGUGCCCCCAAGCAUGAUAAACUAAAAAUAGCAUCUGUCUUGGAGUUCAUAAAAAUAUUCUUUCACCACAAAAAAUUUGUAUUCUGUUAACAAAAUAAAGCCAAAAAUAGCCCAAAGAUAUUCCAAUACAGAGGUGAAAAAUGCUGCUAAAUGCUGAUACAAGGGGACUGUAAAAAAAUGUAAGAGCUGUAAGUGUCUAUCGAACAUAAUCUUUGUAAUUGCAGAUUAUAAAAUUCCCUAUGGGAAAAUGAAUGGUGGAAUUUCAAGGGUGGAAAUCGAGGGAAAAAUACUGACUUCACGCUUCGGCUCCCAAAUCCCAAUUUAAUAUGCACACGCUAAAAUUUUUCAACAUUUUGUAUUUUUUGCAAAGCAUACUUUUGCAAACAAGUGUGGGGCCGUUUAGCCUGUCAUCACAAAAUUAGGCUAGAAAGACUCUGGAGUCUGAUACUCAAUAAUAAUCAAAAUAAUUUUGACUUUUCAAAACAAUAUGGCUGCCACACAUCAAGAAAUUCUUGCGGGUGUAGCCAUUUUUUUUGUACGCUGGUACAGUGCUUGAUUCUGAGGAUGCAUGCACAUUUGUGCCAAUUGGUGGUGCUAAAAAAACCAAAUCACUUUAAAUGCUAACUCUUCAGGCUGAAAUAUUGUAUGUUAUAUCUCUGUGAAAGCCCCCACUUGUUUGAAUGACCAAAAUAUAACUUAAACAGACAUGGCCACCAGUGAGAUAUCAGCAGCCAUUUAACCGUUUUAGCCAUGGCCAAUCAUCAUGAAACUUGGUAGGUACAUUGACCUAUUGACUUGGUACUACCUUGUCAAGGUAUCAGAUUUGGGAUCAGUAAGCCAUUAGGGGGCACUAUAGCAAAUAUAAAAGUUUCAAAAGAGCAUAUCUUUGGCUAUGGGUAAUGGCAAAUCAUAUAAAUUGCAUUUUUAGAAACAUUAUAAGAAGCAACAUUGGUCACCAUUUUGUUGUUCUGCCGUUUUGAGUUUUUUUGCAAAACUUACUUUCGCGAACUAGUCUGGGGCUGUUUGAACUCUGUUUAGGCUAGAAAGAAACUGUACUCUGUUCCCGAAUAAAUAUCAAAAAUAUUAUGUUCUUUUCAAAAACAUAUGGCUGCCACACAUCAAUCAGUUGUUGUGGGCGUGGUCAUUUUUUUUUUGCUAAAAUCAUGAAUGCUACGUUUGAUUCUCAAAAAAUUUGGCAGUCCACGAUUCUGAGGACGUAGGCAGGUUUUGGAACCUGUCUGGCAAUAGGUGGCCCUAAACCAAAUAAGUUUAAAUACAAAUAAUUGGUUUUUAACUUGCUCUGACCUGCACUCAGCUGUCGGGCUCGCUGUAAAUUAGGCUUGUCAGCAAUAAGUAGGCUGCUGUAAUUUGCAUAUGGAUGAAAUGAGGCACAGUGUCUCAGCAUCCCUUUUAUUGUAUCAAAGCUUACAAAGGAAUUUAUCAGGGAUGUGUGAAGUGAGGGAACUCAUGUCUUUUACCAACAGCUCUGAUAAAUGAUUGAUAAAGCGUGUGCUAAGCUUUCACUCCUGCACAAUGCGAAAAAGCAAAGUGAAAGUAACCUGGUAUUUAGCAGUAUAGCAAAGACAUCAUUUCAGCUAGAAGAACGCAGUAAACUACGUUUGAAAAAGAUAUGUAAAUGAGCUUGAAAAAGACAACACUGGAACAUAUACGGGUUUUCCAAGCAGGGGCAAAAGUCACAAUGGGUAAGUCAUAAAGAGGGUUGAUUUUUUCAGGUAGUAGCUCGUUUUCAGGUCUUACUCAGCACAGGAAUGUCUAACUAAGACCUUCUUUCUUUUUUUUUGCUGUUUGUAAAUAAAGUUCUGUCGAAAUUAAUUUCGCAAGUACAAUCACACAAAAUUAAUUUACUGCCAUUGUGAUUAAAUUAAGUGAUUAAGCCUUUAGGGUAUGGAUGCAUUAUAGGGUAUAAUAAUAGGGUAUGGACACUAUAGAAAAGUUUUUCUCUGAAAACUGAGAUUUUGAAUAGACUGAAUAGAAAAGCUACACAACAACUGCCUGAAAUAUAACAGAUAUUUGCGUAUGCAUUUCCAGCAAACCACCAAAGCUGCGUGUUCUCUGUGGAGAAAGUUUUUUUUUUCGAAAAACCACAUUUUUGGAAUUUUGUUUACGUACAAAAUAAUGUUUGUUUUAAAAUUCUCUGUAAAACGCUUUCAGCUCAAUGUAAAUAACUUAUAAUGACUUUUGCUAGCCUGUACAAGGCUCCAGAGUGCGACACAUGCGACCAAAAAUCUGUCAAAUGCGACUAAACAUUUUCAUUGGUCGCACCGGUGCGCCUGACAUUUAGCAGGUCUCUGUGUGUGUAUGUGUGUAGCGUUAUUUUUUUCCCACCCUACUCUGCCUCUGAUUGGCUCUGACCAUGAUAUUCUUCUUCGCUGAAUGCGGGUGGGGAAGAAAAAUAAGGAAUGUGUGUAUUAGUUAUAUCCGCGGGCACCGCGGUUAAUCCGCUGAUCGGGCGGGCCGAGUCAUAAAAAUUAACAUUGUGAUUAAAAGUGGAUGGGUUGUGGGUGGGUGAAAUAAUACAUCAUUAAUGAGGAAAAUAUUAAUUACAUUCUCUAAAAUGUGAACAUAGUUUAAGAUCAAUUUUUCGUCAGGCACGAAUUAGCAGACUAGACUCUCAUUGCACCAACUGCGGCGUCCAUCUGUCUUAAGCAGCAAUGGAGGCAAAAAAAGAUCCGAGAGAAAAUUAAAAAAGGAGAAUUUAAAAAAAAAAAAAAAAAGGAAGGGCAGACAAGUUCCAUGUGGGAGCAAUUUAGUGAAAUACUUAACCAUGACGAGUCAAGUGCUGGGUAUGUCAUAUGCAACAGCUGCGAAAUAAUGUGAAAUAACGGUAAUGUGUGAUCGGGUAUUAGGGCCAUAUUGACGGAAAAAAAUCGGAGAUUUUGAGAAUAAGAUCGUAAUAUUAUGACAAUAACGCUGUAAUAUUACGAGAAUAAAGUCAUAAUAUUAUGAGAAUAAAGUCGUAAUUUUACGAGAAAAAAGUCAUAAUAUUACGAGAAUAAAGUCGUAAUUUUAGGCUACAUGGGGAAAUAUCAGAAGUUAUACUUUAGUAGGAUAUAGGUUUCACAAAUAACGAGAUAGCCUACUUAAUCUUUUAGCACAUCAGCACCACAUUAUCAUAAGUAACAGGACUUUGAAAAGAUUUUGCAAGAAACUUUUAUAUUCCGAAAAAAGAACCACACAGACUUGGAGGAAAUUGCAGGCUCAGGCUGCCAUUAUACUGUCCUCUCGCCCGUUUUGUUGGUUGCUGGUAAUAUAUUUUCCUAAAAAUUAUGUUUUUCUCUUCGAAAUUUUACGAUUUUAUUCACGUAAUAUUAUGAUUUUUUCUCGUAAAAUUACAACUUUAUUCUCGUAAUAUUACAACCUUUUUCUUGAAAUAUUAUGACUUUAUAUUAUUCUCAUUAAAUUAUGACUUUAUUCUCGUACUAUUAUGACUUUUUUCUCGAAAUCUCUGAUUUUCCCCCCCUCAAUGUGGCCCUAAUACUAAGUCGUAGGGGUGCGGGUCUCUAAAUUAGUUUGGGUGGGUGGCGGGUGGAUGAUGCGAUUCGGAUGACGUCAGAGCCGAUCCGCGCAUCACUAGUGUGUAUGUGUGAAUCUGCGCCCUGUACUCCUCCGGGGGCAGCGCACACUUUUGUUUGAGUUAUUUGAGUUUGAUUUAUUUAUUUGAGUUUGUCAAGCACUUUAAACAUCAGCACUUUUUAAGUUUAUUUUUUAAACAAUUGAGGUUAUUGCGAUUUCUUGAUGGUGCUGUGAUUUAAAUAAAGAAAAAACAUUGAUCUGCACCUUUAUUCCUGUUUACAAUCAUUUACAAAAUGUGUUAAGAAAUUACCAAUGUGUAUGGGAACUGACAAAAAAGGUAACGCUUAAAAUGUAUUAUUGCGCCACCAAAAGGCGCAGGGAAAAAUUUUGGGUGCACCUAAAUUAUGUGCUGGUUCACCUAAAUGAGAAAGUUAGGCGCACCAGUGCAACCAAUGUAAAAAGUUAGUCUGGAGCCCUGUUCUAUACAAAGAGCAGGGCUGCGUUUCCAAGUUUCAAUGUACCUUAACAUUUUACAAAGGUUUCUAAGGUAUACCUUUAAAAGGGAAACCGCUUUUUUACGAGUGUUUCCCAGACUAUACCUUAACAGUUCCCUUAAGGGACACCUCAAAGGUACGUCGUAAGUUGGAGCUGGCCUUCACUGUGGUGCUGAAAAGUUUAUCAAUCGAUGCCAAGCGAAUCGAUUGUCUCACUUGUAAAGGCUUAUGAAUGACGUUUUAAUAUAACAAGUGUUGUCAUAAUCAUUUUACAUCAAUCUAAUAUUGCAGAAGAGGAAGCUAUGCCUACUAAAGAUUAUCUGCUAAUCUCUUUAAGAGUCAAAUAACUGUCUGCAGACCUUGUGAUAGUUUUAAUCAAUAAAUGUAGGCUACAAAAGAUAAAAUAAAGAGCAUCAAUCGGCACAUAUACGCCAUAGUCUGGGACUUCUUGGAAGCCCAGGAAAAAGGAUAUAGGCUACAUAUAAAAAAUUAUUUUGUUCUUAUUGAAACAAAGAUCUAAUUUUAAUUUGUUUUUGUCAAGCAAUAUAUAGACAACUGUAGCAGCAUAUCCCCUGAUUCCUGCUGACUUUUCUCUGCAGUGCAAAAAUGAUCGUAGAUGAAAGGCAAAAGCGCGUCUGUGGAAAUUGAUAAUGAUUAAUUCUAUACCGCGUAUGCAACGGCAUUUUAACCUGGGUCAGUAGUGUAAAGAGGAUAUUAAAUGAAAUAUUGCCAAAUCAUUUUAUAACCUAUCAUAAUACUAUAGAUGGCUCACUUAAAGGAAGUAAAAGAAGGGACACAACGUGGCGUUUCAUUGCCGUGUUUUGUGUGAUCACUGAUUAGUGUAAUUAAUAGUAGGUGCAUCCGAUUACUAAUUUAAUUUAUUGCGCACUGGGAUUGGCUAAUGCAGCCUACAUAAUUACCCGUGGGUAGUUUCACAUAUGAAGACAAGACGGCAUAGAGGAGCGAUCUUCACAAAGGAGGAAAUGCACGUCUUACUUGAUGAAGUGCAACAAAACAAGGGCAUCCUAUUUAGUAAUUUUAGGAGUAAUGUGUCAGGUAAGGCGAGGGAAUGGACCCAAAUGCAGAGUCAAAAAUACUCGAAAUCCAAAAGGGUAAAUACAAACCGAGAAUUUACUUUUAAUAAGUACAAAAACCAGGGAGAACAAAAACAAAGCCACGCAGGGCAAGUCUCAAAAGGACAAAGCAAAGUUCUUUAAACGCAAAAACAAAGAAAAUCCAGAAAUUCAAAACAAUGCAAAAACAGAACACAGGCAGGAUAGAAAACACUCAGGACAAAACACAGAGUCAAAAGUACACGUGGGAGCACAUACCGAAACACAAUCAGAAAAGCACACACAAGGAUCCAGCACCUGAGUCAGGGAAGAAGGAACUUAAAUAGACAAGACACUGACGAGACCCAGGAGGGCACAAUGCACAAUCAGGCCACAGAGAGGGAAGGGAAAACGAGACAACCAAAAAACAAUAAUUGAAUAAUUGAAAACAAUAAUACAAUUAAACAGGGUAAAUGAACAGAACUAAAAACUGAAGUGCCGCCAUCUGGCGGCCCAAAAGGGGAAACGCAGACAAACCACAGAACCCUGACAUAAUAUUUCCAAUAAGGCAAAAGUGGCUAUUUGGAUGAAUAUAGAGAGUGGACAGUUGUCAGGAAAAAAUGGCAAGACUUCGCCAGUCUUGCCAAAUCUCGAGGGGCGGCAGUGCGGAGGGAGAUAGCAAAAACGGGUGCUGGACUGAGCGUAGUACCCAGCCUCACCCCUGACGAAGAAAAGGCCCUUUCAAUCAUUGGCCACACGGCCUCCCAAGGCAUCUCGGGGGGCAUUGAUGUCAGAUCUGGCAAGGGGACAUCCACCCUCCAGCCCUCUGGUGAGGGGACAUCCACCCCACCCCCCGAGCCCUCCUCGCCACCCCAAAGCUCGCAUGCCUCGUCGCCUUCUCGCUGUGGUUCUCCCCCCCGACAGAAGCCCGCACCAGAACACCUCAGAUGCGAGGUGGAAUGUCAAGGAAGAGAGUCGUGCGCUGCAGCUGCAGCGAAGACCUUCUCCGUUUGGAGAAGGAGAAGCUGGUGGUGCUGCGAGGGCAUCGAGGCGCAACUGGAGAUGUCCAACAGCCUCCAGCGGGAGAUGCUGGAAGUAAAAAAAGCAAAACUGGACCUCCUGCAGAGGCAGUAUGAUUUGGCAGAGGCACAGUUUCAUAGGCCCUCCAUAUCCGUGCCCAUCAUUCUGCCAUCUCAAGAUGAGACAAAUCCAUGACCACGUCCCCGUUGAUGAAGUUUUUUAUUUUAUUAUUUAAAAAAAAAAAAAUUUUUAAGGAACGGUAUACUAUCUUUUUGUUUGCAUCUAUUUUGUUCCUUUGAUAAAACAUGCUCCUUUUUGGAAACCUUAACCUUUUGUUACAUUCUGCAAAUAAAGCACCUGUGUGUUCUA